CCUACGGGUGGCUGCAGUGGGGAAUAUUGCACAAUGGGCGCAAGCCUGAUGCAGCCAUGCCGCGUGUGUGAAGAAGGCCUUCGGGUUGUAAAGCACUUUCAGCGGGGAGGAAGGCGUUAAGGUUAAUAACCUUGGCGAUUGACGUUACCCGCAGAAGAAGCACCGGCUAACUCCGUGCCAGCAGCCGCGGUAAUACGGAGGGUGCAAGCGUUAAUCGGAAUUACUGGGCGUAAAGCGCACGCAGGCGGUCUGUCAAGUCGGAUGUGAAAUCCCCGGGCUCAACCUGGGAACUGCAUUCGAAAAUGGGAGGCUAGCGGCUUGUUGGGGGGGGUAAGAUUCCAGGUGUUGCGGGGAAAUGCGUAGAAGUCUGGGGGAAUACCGGUGGCGAAAGCGGCCCCCUGGACAAAGAAUGACGCUCAAGUGCGAAAGCGUGGGGAGCAAACAGGAUUAGAUACCCGGGUAGUC
rnacentral:rRNA from 1 species